AACGAACGUUGGCGGCGUGGAUUAGGCAUGCAAGUCGAACGGGCCGCAAGGCCAGUGGCGGAAGGGUGAGUAAUGCGACGGUAACCAACCCCGGAAAUGGGUAUAGCCGCGGGAAACUGCGGGUAAUCCCCAGCGACGUGUCGGGUCGGCAUCGACCUGACACCAAAGCUCCGGCGUUCCGGGACGGGCCGUUGUGGUAUUAGCUAGUUGGCGGGGUAACGGCCCACCAAGGCUGCGAUGCCUACCGGGCGUGCGAGCGUGGCCCGGCACACUGGGACUGAGACACUGCCCAGACUCCUACGGGAGGCUGCAGUCGAGAAUCUUCGGCAAUGGUCGCAAGCCUGACCGAGCGACGCCGCGUGGAGGACGAAGGCCUUCGGGUUGUAAACUCCUGUCGAGGGGGAGGAAGGCGCAAGCUUGACUGAUCCCUGGAGGAAGCACGGGCUAAGUUCGUGCCAGCCGCCGCGGUAAAAC
rnacentral:rRNA from 1 species